rnacentral:lncRNA from 13 species
AUGAAGCGGUUGCGCGUUUUGUUGGCGUGCCUCAUCCUCUGGUGGUACCCCAGUCAUAAUGUGUGUUGUUCAGAGCACAGCUCGUCAGCUCCAGGUGUGUCUAGUGGUGAAAGCAGCCUCCCAGAGCAUCAUCAUGAGCAGCACCACAGGACUGACCACAAGGAGGAGUCGUCGUCGAGGACACACACACACACCUACGACGUGGAACUGGAGACAAAGAGGGCUACACUAGAGGAGCCCAACACACCCAACACUGAACAGACUGUGAAUCAGAAGGAGCCUGUGGUGGUCUGGCCUGCCCCAGAACCACACCUGGAUCCUGAACCCCCUGCUGCUGCUGCUGAGCCUCACUCACACAACACACACAUCCACACAGACCCAGAGCCCGAUACACAACCCACUCCCCUCCAGAACCAGGCUCCCUCAUCCCCCUCCAUCCCACCGCUCAGCGACAACCCAACCCAGGGAUCGGCCUCCACAGACCACACAGGCCCAGUCGAGACCCCCAGUGAUGCACCGGCAGAACCCAGCCCAGCCCCCUCUACAGAAGACCCCCAACACACACCUACCUCAACCUCUUACAUCCCUGCUCCAGCCCCAUCCAGGUAAGAUGAGAACUGUGUAUUGUACGCAUGAUGUGUAUGAGACGUUAUGUCUGUUUAUACAGCAGAAUUAUGUGUCCAAGGCCAUUUUUGUCCUUGGGCUCAAUAAAGUAUUUAUCGUAAGAGGCGUCAUUCAGUCUACCACUGUGAAAGAUCCAGUUAUCUAACUGGUCUUCCCUUUCAGCUGCAUUCAUUGUUUUUUUGUUUUACAUUUUUACUUCACAUUUUUCGUAUGUUGCUAUUUUUCUUAUUGACUUGACUUUUUUCCCCGCCUCAAUCUUGGGGGCCCCCGCUGCCCCUUUCUAUACACCGUUUACUGCUGUAAACCUGCAGUUAACUUUGCACUGGUUCCUUCGUCAAUAAACCUAUCUGAACCUGGACUAAAACUUGGACUGGACUUGGUGGGAAUAAGUGGAAAUGUUGGUUGUCUGCUAAACUGGACCUCUGGACAGAUGGGGAUUGCCAGACCUGAUCAGAUCAGGUGUCAUUGGAUCCUUGGAUGGUUCUGCCAUGGGGUUUACUGGCUAGUUUAGCGCUCUUUGUAGGACCUACUCAAAAUGGCUGCCGAGAUGUGGACACUUGCCUUUUACAAUGAACAUUUGACUCACCACAGCCUGGACUCGAGGAGGCUUACCAUUCCGAAGACACCCCCCCCCCCCUCCAACCUCAUCCCCUUUUUCUCUCUCCCCCAUCCCUCUCUUUUUCCUUCUCUCCUCCCCACCCCAUCUGUCCUCUAUCUCCCUCUUCCUCCCUCCUAGGGGCUCUUCCAUAAAUGGCAUGUCCUUUCUUUCCCUCAGU